GACGAACGCUGGCGGCGUGCUUAACACAUGCAAGUCGACGACGCUACUGAGUAGCAAUAUUUAGUAGUGGAGUGGCACAAGGGUGAGUAAUGUAUACGUAACCAACCCAUCGGAGACGGAUAACAUUUCGAAAGGGAUGCUAAAACGGCAUGAAGCCACGAUUUCGCAUGAGAUUGUGGUUAAAGAACCGGUAACAGGUUGCCGAUGGCUGGGCGUAUAUCCGAUUAGCUAGUUGGUAGUGUAAUGGACUACCAAGGCGACGAUCGGUAGCUGGUCUGAGAGGAUGAUCAGCCACACUGGCACUGAGACACGGGCCAGACUCCUACGGGAGGCAGCAGUGGGGAAUAUUGGGCAAUGCCCGCAAGGGUGACCCAGCAACGCCGCGUGGAGGAUGAAGGCCGUAAGGUUGUAAACUCUGACAAGCAGGGAAGAACGGCUAUGGUAAAAGGCCAUAGAAUGACGGUACCUGCCUGAAGCCCCGGCUAACUACGUG
rnacentral:rRNA from 1 species